AUCUUCAGGCGCUGUAACUCGGCGUAAAGACAUUGUCUCCGAUCUUUGACCACGGAUGUACUGGCAUUGAUUGUUGAGGCGAUUGAAAGGUCGGGUUUCUCCCGGCCUUUUUUAUU
rnacentral:sRNA from 1 species